UAGCUUUGCCUGAACGUUGUUGGUAGGUGGGAUAUGCUUGAAAGAUCUGAUGAUCCAAUUCCCUUGAUGGUCUCGAACACUGAACCAAUAUGCUAAAAUGGAUAUUUGAGUUAAUAGGGGAAGGGGAUAAGAAGAGGACUAGAUCUUCAAUUAGUGACGAGGAGGUGGAGCAAGAUAGUAGUUGGCUAAAAGGACAAUGAAAGUGUCAACUUACACUAAGAUGUCGGUGGAGGCCAAAGACCAGCUUCACACUGGUUGCCAUGAGACUACUAAGUUGGAUCUAUUGUGGGCUUGAGAACUUACCAAUUAUUUAG
rnacentral:lncRNA from 1 species